rnacentral:rRNA from 1 species
GUGAACGCUGGCGGUAGGCCUAACCCAUGCAAGUCGAACGGCAGCACAGUAAGAGCUUGCUCUUACGGGUGGCGAGUGGCGGACGGGGGAGGAAUACAUCGGAAUCUACUUUUUCGUGGGGGAUAACGUAGGGAAACUUACGCUAAUACCGCAUACGACCUACGGGUGAAAGCAGGGGAUCUUCGGACCUUUCGCGAUUGAAUGAGCCGAUGUCGGAUUAGCUAGUUGGCGGGGUAAAGGCCCACCAAGGCGACGAUCCGUAGCUGGUCUGAGAGGAUGAUCAGCCACACUGGAACUGAGACACGGUCCAGACUCCUACGGGAGGCAGCAGUGGGGAAUAUUGGACAAUGGGCGCAAGCCUGAUCCAGCCAUACCGCGUGGGUGAAGAAGGCCUUCGGGUUGUAAAGCCCUUUUGUUGGGAAAGAAAAGCAGCAGGUUAAUACCCCGCUGUUCUGACGGUACCCAAAGAAUAAGCACCGGCUAACUUCGUG